UACGAAGGGGGCGAGCGUUGUUCGGAAUUACUGGGCGUAAAGGGCGCGCAGGCGGCUCUGAAAGUCAGAUGUGAAAGCCCCGGGCUUAACCUGGGAAUUGCAUUUGAUACUCUGGAGCUUGAGUACGGGAGAGGAGAGUGGAAUUCCCAGUGUAGAGGUGAAAUUCGUAGAUAUUGGGAAGAACACCGGUGGCGAAGGCGGCUCUCUGGACCGUAACUGACGCUGAGGCGCGAAAGCUAGGGGAGCAAACAGG
rnacentral:rRNA from 1 species